UACGGGGGGGGCAAGCGUUGUUCGGAAUUACUGGGCGUAAAGGGCUCGUAGGCGGCCAACUAAGUCAGCCGUGAAAUCCCUCGGCUUAACCGGGGAACUGCGUCUGAUACUGGAUGGCUUGAGGUUGGGAGAGGGAUGCGGAAUUCCAGGUGUAGCGGUGAAAUGCGUAGAUAUCUGGAGGAACACCUGUGGCGAAAGCGGCGCACUGGACCACAACUGACGCUGAGGCGCGAAAGCUAGGGGAGCAAACAGG
rnacentral:rRNA from 1 species